UACGUAGGGUGCAAGCGUUGUCCGGAAUUAUUGGGCGUAAAGAGCUCGUAGGCGGUCUGUCACGUCGGCUGUGAAAACCCGAGGCUCAACCUCGGGCCUGCAGUCGAUACGGGCAAACUAGAGUACUGCAGGGAGACUGGAAUUCCUGGUGUAGCGGUGAAAUGCGCAGAUAUCAGGAGGAACACCGGUGGCGAAGGCGGGUCUCUGGGCAGUAACUGACGCUGAGGAGCGAAAGCGUGGGGAGCGAACAGG
rnacentral:rRNA from 1 species